rnacentral:rRNA from 1 species
UACAGAGGGGGCAAGCGUUGUUCGGAAUUACUGGGCGUAAAGGGCGCGUAGGCGGCCUUCUAAGUCGAACGUGAAAUCCCCGGGCUCAACCCGGGAACUGCGUCCGAGACUGAAAGGCUCGAAUCCGGGAGAGGGAUGUGGAAUUCCAGGUGUAGCGGUGAAAUGCGUAGAUAUCUGGAGGAACAUCGGUGGCGAAGGCGGCAUCCUGGACCGGUAUUGACGCGUGAGGCGCGAAAGCCAGGGGAGCAAAGCGGG